ensembl:lncRNA
GGGAGUACAGUGCAGUGCGGGGGGUGAUAACUGAUUUGAGGGUCUCGGAGAACCUGAGCCUAUCCCAGGGAGCAUGGGGCACAAGGCGGGGUACACCCUGGAAGGUGUGCCAGUCACCAAUUACAGGGCACUAUCACAUACACAUUCAUACACUAUGGACACUUUGGACUGGGGAGGAAACUGGAGUACCUGAAGGAAACCCCUGCGGCACAGGACAACAUGCAAACUCCUCACACACGUCCUGCCAUGGUGGGAAUCGAACCCCCAACCCUGGAGGUGUGAGGCUAACAUACUAACCACUAACCACUGUAUUGACAAUACAGUCAAUAAUUUUAGGAACAGUAAAAAGUUACCCA